UUAGAGUUUGAUCCUGGCUCAGGAUGAACGCUAGCGGCAGGCUUAACACAUGCAAGUCGAGGGGCAGCGAGAUCAGUGCUUGCACUGAUUGUCGGCGACCGGCGCACGGGUGCGUAACGCGUAUGCAACCUACCCAUUACAGGGGGAUAACACUGAGAAAUCGGUACUAAUACCCCAUAACAUCCAGGGAGGCAUCUUCUUGGGUUGAAAACUCCGGUGGUAAUGGAUGGGCAUGCGUUGUAUUAGUUAGUUGGUGGGGUAACGGCUCACCAAGACAACGAUACAUAGGGGGACUGAGAGGUUAACCCCCCACAUUGGUACUGAGACACGGACCAAACUCCUACGGGAGGCAGCAGUGAGGAAUAUUGGUCAAUGGACGCAAGUCAGAACCAGCCAUGCCGCGUGCAGGAAGACGGCUCUAUGAGUUGUAAACUGCUUUUGUACGAGGGUAAACGCAGAUACGCGUAUCUGUCUGAAAGUAUCGUACGAAUAAGGAUCGGCUAACUCCGUGCCAGCAGCCGCGGUAAUACGGAGGAUUCAAGCGUUAUCCGGAUUUAUUGGGUUUAAAGGGUGCGUAGGCGGUCGGAUAAGUUAGAGGUGAAAUCCCGGGGCUCAACUUCGGAAUUGCCUCUGAUACUGUUCGGCUAGAGAGUAGUUGCGGUAGGCGGAAUGUAUGGUGUAGCGGUGAAAUGCUUAGAGAUCAUACAGAACACCGAUUGCGAAGGCAGCUUACCAAGCUACUUCUGACGUUGAGGCACGAAAGCGUGGGGAGCAAACAGGAUUAGAUACCCUGGUAGUCCACGCAGUAAACGAAUGAUAACUCGUUGUCGGCGAUACAGUGUCGGUGACUAAGCGAAAGCGAUAAGUUAUCCACCUGGGGAGUACGUUCGCAAGAAUGAAACUCAAAGGAAUUGACGGGGGCCCGCACAAGCGGAGGAACAUGUGGUUUAAUUCGAUGAUACGCGAGGAACCUUACCCGGGCUUGAAAGUUAGUGACGGAUCUUGAAAGAGGUCUUCCCUUCGGGGCACGAAACUAGGUGCUGCAUGGUUGUCGUCAGCUCGUGCCGUGAGGUGUCGGGUUAAGUCCCAUAACGAGCGCAACCCCUACCGUUAGUUGCCAGCAGGUCAAGCUGGGCACUCUGACGGGACUGCCGGUGUAAGCCGAGAGGAAGGUGGGGAUGACGUCAAAUCAGCACGGCCCUUACGUCCGGGGCUACACACGUGUUACAAUGGCAGGUACAGAGGGCAGCUACCCAGCGAUGGGAUGCGAAUCUCGAAAGCCUGUCUCAGUUCGGAUUGGAGGCUGAAACCCGCCUCCAUGAAGUUGGAUUCGCUAGUAAUCGCGCAUCAGCCAUGGCGCGGUGAAUACGUUCCCGGGCCUUGCACUCACCGCCCGUCA
rnacentral:rRNA from 1 species